rnacentral:rRNA from 1 species
CACGCAGUAAACGAUGAUUACUAGCUGUUUGCGAUACAGUGUAAGCGGCUUAGCGAAAGCGUUAAGUAAUCCACCUGGGGAGUACGUUCGCAAGAAUGAAACUCAAAGGAAUUGACGGGGGCCCGCACAAGCGGAGGAACAUGUGGUUUAAUUCGAUGAUACGCGAGGAACCUUACCCGGGCUUGAAAUGCAUCCGACGUAUCCGGAAACGGAUAUUCCCUUCGGGGCGGAUGUGUAGGUGC